UACGGGGGGGGCAAGCGUUGUUCGGAAUUACUGGGCGUAAAGGGCUCGUAGGUGGCCAACUAAGUCAGACGUGAAAUCCCCAGGCUUAACCUGGGAACUGCGUCUGAUACUGGAUGGCUAGAGUUUGGGAGAGGGAUGCGGAAUUCCAGGUGUAGCGGUGAAAUGCGCAGAUAUCAGGAGGAACACCGAUGGCGAAGGCAGGUCUCUGGGCCACUACUGACGCUGAGAAGCGAAAGCAUGGGGAGCGAACAGG
rnacentral:rRNA from 1 species